rnacentral:rRNA from 1 species
UACGUAGGUCCCGAGCGUUGUCCGGAUUUAUUGGGCGUAAAGCGAGCGCAGGUGGUUUAUUAAGUCUGGUGUAAAAGGCAGUGGCUCAACCAUUGUAUGCAUUGGAAACUGGCAGACUUGAGUGCAGGUGAGGAGAGUGGAAUUCCAUGUGUAGCGGUGAAAUGCGUAGAUAUAUGGAGGAACACCGGUGGCGAAAGCGGCUCUCUGGCCUGUAACUGACACUGAGGCUCGAAAGCGUGGGGAGCAAACAGG